UGCAUCACCCUUUUUCUUAGUAGCCAAGAAAGAUGGCAGAUGCCGACCUUGUAUUGAUUACUGAGCAUUUAACCAGAUUACAAAGAAAUUCCAUAAUCCUUUUCCUCUCGUCCUAGCAGCCUUAGAACAUCUACAAGAACCUGGUAAAGAAGCGUACACAGUGCGGGAGUUACUGGACUCCAGAGGCCAAUGUGGACAGCUAGAAUACCUUGUCUCUUAAGAGGGAUUUGGACCUGAGGAACGUUCCUGGGUCCCUUGAGAUGACAUCUUGGACCCAGAACUGUUGAGUGAGUUCCACACUGCCCACCCGAGAAACCCGUUCCCCGUAGCAGAGGUCGGCCACCUCAGCGUUGGAAGUCUCAACAGCCCUCAGAAGUGGACCGCGAGGGGGGUACUGUUACGGAUUCGGCAGGCUCCUCACUCACUCUCCGUCAACAAUACAUUUCACCUUUAUACUAAAGACUGCCACACACUCUCAGACACUUGUGGCCUGUUUUUAAACUCUUACCAUAUGCUAUGCUUCAUUAUCCAUCUCAUCUGCAGGCGCUCUGUUGUAUAUUUUAAUAAAUACCCAUUUGGUUUUA